ACAAAAAAAAAUGGCCAUACCUUUGAAAGCCUUUUGAUUUUUAUGCCACUAUAGAAGGUUUCAUGCCAUGUCCUCUUGAAAUGUGCAUCUUUAUCUGUCAGAGCCACUAGAGGGAGCAACAAGCUACAUUUUUAAAUGUUUGUGUUCAAAUGAAAUGGACACAGUAUAUUCAUAUGCAGUCCCAAUGUUGCAUUUAUUUCCUCUGUGUUGCAUCUCUCUCCCCCUAGCUCUUCUCUUUAAGCCUUCUUCACUCCCGCUGGUGUAGGAGGGAAACGUGUUGGAGCUGUUUUUUUUUCUCUCUUUUUUUUUUUUUAAAUUGGCCUAGUGGCUGCUAUUUUUGGGCUUCUGUGCUCCCCCCACCCCCUCUCUCUUGCUCUCUCUUAAUGUUUUUUUUUAUUUCAGAACUCUUUUUAUUCCUGCUGCUCUCCAUUCGUGUUAUAAUCCACUGGCCGAUAUCAGUGGGAGAAGGGGAGGAAAUGAGCAUAACGCUGAGAGAGGGAGGUGAGGUGCUGUCUUCUUGGAUCCCCUGCAUCAGUAAUAGGGGUCGCUGGCAGUCCCUCCACACAGAGAGGCGGUUGACGCGUGAGCAGAUGCUGGCUGAAUUGAUUUGCCUUCCUCGGUUCUUCCUCGAGGGAAUGGAUUACUGAUGUUUUCUGUUGUUUUUCCAGUUGAGAGACCUGUUGCACCUUAGAGGACUGGAAACAACGAGAGGCUUUGUUCUUGAAUUGAUCCAACAUGAAGUCAGUGGCUGCUGUUUGGGUCUUCAUCUGUCUUCUGCUGAUUCUUCACUUCGCAAGACCUGAGAAAUCCGGUGAUGAUUCCAUUCACACCUCUGAAAUCAUGCUGUUUACUGCGAGCCCUCAGUCACUCAUCAGCCUCUUGUUACUGGUCCUAACUGCCAUCCUGUCGGGCAGCGUCUACCUAUGGAUCCUCAGAUACGUUUGCAUCGGCUGCUGCCAGCCCGUUGCAGUCGGCACUGAAUCAGACGUUCUGGAUGGCGUGGUGUGAAGCCAUUAUCCUCUGACUGGAAUAGUUGGGGUAUUGCUUUCCAAAAGGAAAUCGGUUAUUUCCUUUCGUUUCCAUGUAGAAAUUACACUCUGCACACCUAUGAAAUGGCAAACAAAAAUGGGGCUUUAAUGUAGGAAAUG